AUUGUACUGAAUCUGUAGAUCAAUUUUAAAAUAUUAUCUUCUGAACUGCUGAGUGUCGGAAGUGUGCUAUAUUAAUGGCAGGAUUUUCGCUAACACCAGUAGGGCUUGCCUCUAUGACUGGAGUUUGAUAGUACUCGCUGCCACAUGA
ensembl:snoRNA SNORA62 Small nucleolar RNA SNORA62/SNORA6 family